rnacentral:rRNA from 1 species
GCAUUUGUUAUAAUCUUUUUCAUGGUUAUACCAGUGAUAAUCGGCGGCUUUGGUAACUGACUUGUACCACUAAUAAUUGGCGCUCCAGAUAUAGCCUUCCCACGAAUGAACAACAUAAGCUUUUGACUACUCCCCCCCUCACUGCUCCUUCUCCUUGCCUCCUCCGGUGUGGAGGCUGGCGCAGGAACUGGUUGAACCGUGUACCCCCCCCUCGCUGCCAAUCUCGCCCACGCCGGCGCAUCUGUAGACCUUGUUAUCUUCUCCCUCCACUUAGCAGGCAUCUCGUCAAUUCUUGGGGCUAUUAACUUCAUCACUACCUGCAUCAACAUAAAAUCUCCUGCCCUAUCACAAUACAACACCCCCCUUUUUGUAUGAUCAGUUUUAAUCACAGCAGUGUUACUACUUCUUGCCCUACCA